AGUGCUCAGUCACCUGCACUUACAUAUAUAUAUGUAUGUGUGUGUGUGUGUGUGUGUGUGUGUGUGUGUGUGUACAUAUAUAUAUACACAUAUAUGUACACACACACACACACACACACAUACAUAC
rnacentral:miRNA from 12 species